GGAAAACCUGCCAGUGAUGGAGAGUUCCUGAAGAAAUUUUUGUUGCUGGACUGAUUAACUCAGCGGACAGACGGUCUGUGGGAACUCUGUCUCUGGGAAUCUGAUGAUCAUGUGGCCGGGAUGACGACUGGGCAAGUAUGGAGACUUUAGUGGGUGGGGUUUCCUUCGUUGAGUUUCUUUCAGAUUGCUGCAGAAAGCCCUCAGCAUUGGGACACAAAGAGAGGUUUGGAUGCUCUGGGAGGACCUUUCACUGUCUCAAACUGUCUCUUAACAGCAGCCUUUCAGUUCUGCCUCACUUACGGUUUCUCUGGGUAAGUCAUCACUCCUUUGAGAUGUGGCAUCAUCAGUGUGUGCGGGAUAUGCCUAAGGAAAUUGUUCCCCCCUGAGGUCACUGACAGACAGGACGUACAGGAUCAGGAUCUUGAGCUCAGGGCCUCAAGACUGAAUGGAGGUUGCCUAAGGCUUGUGAUAAUAGGCUCUCUGUGUCUGAUGGUUGGAAAUGGCUUACCUCUGGCCAUCAUUUUCAAUACCUCAGAAACCUGUUUCCCACCCGCAGAGACAGGAUAAGAAAACACUACAGAGAUGCCCAGGGAUGACCUAGAAAAUUGUUGCGAAUGCAUCUCCCCAUCUCUUUAGUGGCAGCAACUUCUGUCUUUGUCUCUUUAGCUUCUUUAGUCACCUCUCUAUCUUCUACUUGGAAAAAUGACCCUAUGUGCAUUGCUGUGAUUCUGACUACUGUUUUCUUAGGAGCCAGCUUCCACUAUUUCCUCAAGUGGACAACAAACUGAAACUGUAGGCAACAGGUUUUUAGCCCAGUACACAGGCUUCUGGAACUCUCUUUCAUUCUUUUGAGAGCAAAGGCUGUAGGAGGCCAUGAGCUAGAAUUAUAUCGCUCAGCUGAGGUAAGCAAACUGGGCCAUGCAGAUGCCCAGUCCAUCCGGUCUGUUUAUAGCAUAUGUACAUGCAUACAUACACGUAUGCAUAUAUACUUACACACAUAUGGGAUAGAUAGGUACAUACAAACAGAUGAUAGACAGUAGACAGAUGAUGGGUGGGAGGUGCAUGACGUAUGGUGAUGCAGACAGACUAACCUGAAUGCCCUGUGUUUAUAUUCUCACCACCUGAAUAGGUAACUCUGGCCAGUCCACUCCUAGUGUUUAACUCUCCAAAGUUCUACUAGUUCCAAAGCCCAGAGUUUGUCCCACAGAAUACAGAACUUGACAGUGCUGUAGGAGUCAAGAAUGAGCCACAAACAACACGUGCUCAGCAAGCAGCAAAUGCUUGCAAGUGGUUACGGACUCCACAGCAUUUGACAUUACUUUGUUAGGGUUCCCUGUCCUUGUAUUGUCACAGCAAUACGAGAAAACGUGUAUUGAUCAUGCACGUGGCUCCCUCUUUUAUCAAUGAACUUUGACUACAAUUUCAAAGUUGUACUUUCUAGGUAAAGACUGCAAAUGAAUUUCACACUGCCUGGUGUUAUCCGUGGAGCAGGUCUGAUGUCACCCAGGGCUUAUGACACCCUAAAGGUACCUGGUCCUUACUUGGCACAAAGCACAUACAUAUAUCAUUGAGCUUGUUUGCAUAUUUUCACAAUGACCAAGCUGGACUUUUUUAAGUUUUCUGUGUAUGGGUGUGGGCAUACAUGUAUGCAUGUUUUGUGGACAUGUGUGUGGAGGCAUUGUUGUUGUCCAAUGUCUUCCUCAAUCGCCAUCUAUCUUACUUUUUGAGAUAAGGCCUAUUCACUGAAAUUGGAACUCAAGGAUUUGCUGGCCAGUCAGCUCCAGAGAUUCCCGCCCCCCAUUCAAGGAUCUGGCAUGCACCCCCAAACCUGGCUUUUUACACAACAUUAGAAGGCCUAAUUCAAGUCAGAAAGCACUUUAUUGAUGGAGUCAUCUUCCCACGCCUAAGUCCUAUCCUUUGUGUCUUGAGUAGUCUAAUCAGUGUGAAGUUAAACUGUUAAUUCACAGAAGUAUGUUUAUCUCUGAGCAACACUUUAUUUUCUCCUGCUAUAGAGGUAUCAACCGGGAGAAAGACUGUAAAAGACAAAUGUGAUAUUUCCUCCUGCAAAGGGUUUUGUUUUGACAGCAGCUGAUGAGCUUUGAGGAACAAGUUCACACUCUUCAGCUCUGUGUCUUAAGCAUCACCACCACUGUCCAUCAUUUCGCUGUUGCUAUGGUAACACAACCCUGGCAGAAGCAGCUUAACGGGGACUUUAUUUUGGCGCACAGUUUCAGAGGGACAAAACCCAUCAUGCAUGGAAGACAUGGGGGCAGAAGCAAGAGACAAGCCAAUCAUAUUGCAUCUACACUCAGGAUGUGGGGCCAGACACAGAGCUUCAAAGCCUCACCCCUAACACUAGUGGCUUACUUCCUUUUCCCUAGGCUUUCUCCUCUAAAGGCUCCACAAUCUUGCAAACAGCUCCACCAAGUGGAGAAGAAGUGUUCAAACAUGCAAGUCUCUGGGGGACAUUUCACUUCCAAACCACAGCAGUCAAUAAGGGGCACCAUUUCCCAUGCAGUGCUGCCUUCCUGCUGACACUCAGCAUCAAAACAUACAUGUGGCGGGCCCUUCAUCAUUGUGUACCCUCAGCACGACAUCCGAGCCAUGCAAGCAGCUAAGUCUCUCUGAAGUCACAAGGGGCCAGAGGAUGUAAUCCACUCUCCCAGUGCCUCUUGUGACCCAAUGACCACUGCUUUAGGAGGUAAGCUACCUGUAAUUUUCUUUUAGAAUUAAAAUAGUAGAUUUCGCUUCCUCUCCAUGCCAGGUAGCUGUUAUUUUCACGUUUUAGCAAGAUUUAAGAAAAACACCUGAAAGCCUUAUAGAUUUUCCACUGUUACCCACUCCCUGAGUCCCUUAAAUAAAGAAGCCCAUAAUUGAUUAAUGAAAAGCCAAGUCAUUUUGGUAUUAAUACAAUCCCCUGGGUGGGCCUCUAAUCACACCUGGCAGGCCUGUAACAGCAUCGCUCUGUUACACGUCCAGGUUAAAAACCUGCAAAUCAACACAGCCCACAAGGAGAUUUUCAGCAUUUCCAAUCUGAUAAUCCAUGAUAAAUGCCUGCCAGAGGUUGGUCAGAGCCCAGGCCCUUUAGGAUUUUAAGCCUCUCUGCUUGUUAAAAAUGUUUAUACCUGAGUAUUCAAAGUUGGUACCCAUUUACACGAAUAUGCCUAACACAUGAGUGUUGCAAAUGCAGAAUUAAAAUACCACAUUAUCUCAUUUCUCCAUGAAAACAUAGUUGGAUAUUUGGCAGGGUCCUUCAGGUGGCUCUGCAUGAACCUCAGACAGAGCCACCUCUGAUGAGCAGAGUCAUUUCUGUGACUGAGUAUGUCAGUCUAUGCAGCCUUUGUGUGAGCAGGUGGACCAGUAUGGGAGUCCACUCUCACUCCUCCUCCCUAGGGCCCAAAACAUAUCCAGUCACAGGCAACACAAAAAUAUAAAUAUUAAUCUCAGGCUGGUGAGAGGGCUCAGUGGUUAGCAGUGCUUGCUGCCAAGCCUGAAGACCCAACCUUGAUCCCUGGACCUUCAUGGUAAAAGGAGAAAAUUGACUCUGGCAAGCUGUCCUCUGACACCCCCAUGCACACCACAGCACACACACACACACACACACACACACACCAACACUGAGUAAACAAAAGCAACAAAACUUUUGUUGCUUUUGGAAAACAAGGGUGUCAUGGAAGAACAGGAGGCUACUUAACUCUGCACCUUUAGAAGGAAUCUUCCAGAAGGCACUGCUCAGUGUGAGUUCUUAUAGUGGUUGAUCUUGACUGUCAACCUGGCAGGAUUUAGAGUCACCAUGGAAACAAAUACGAGCCAUGUGAUGGGGUUUCUGGAUUAGGUUAACUGGGCUGGUCUUAAUUGCGAAGGUCUUCCACCUAACCUGUAUGUGAGCAAUACCACCCCGUGGUCUGGAUAAGCAAACCAAGCAACAGCAACCACACCUCUGCUUCCUGAUUGGAUGCCAUGUGACCAGCUGCUCAAGCUCCUGCAGCUGUGACCGUAGCCUGAACUGGGGACCCAAAUCAUCUUUAAUUGCAUUAAUUGCUUUCAUUAGGUUCUUUGUCAUGGCAGGACAAGUGACUACUACAACUUCCCCUCGUCCACCUUGCCUCCUGCUCUGUCUACACCUAGCUCUUUUGUUAAUGGUGGUUGCGAUGUCUCGUGUGUCUGUGGAGAGCAACUCGACCAGCUCACGGGUGUCGGGCUCACAUUCAAAGAAAGCUCAACCUUCGUAACAACACAAGCUGUAAUGGCAGCACCAGGGGAUGGAGGCAAGAAGACAAGGCAAGCUUCAGGCCAGCCUGGGCUACCAAAACCAAAAAACAAAAAACCUAACCCAAUUCGUAAAAUCAAAUCAGAUUCAAUCAAGUUACUUAGCAUAUCCAGUACCGGCCUCACCCACCAGCACCACAGGCACCAUUGCUAAGUGUCUGAGCUGACCAGUGCUAAUCACACUGAGCCUGACAGUCUCCACCCAUCUUUAUCCUAAAUGGCAAGUCUGACCCAUUCAGCAGCAGGUUUUCAUUCUCACCCCUUCCCUGAUAACCUUGACUCUCCUCCCACUCUCUGUGACUCGUCUGUCCUACCUACCUCAUGGGAGUGGAGUCAUACAGGGUUUCUUCCUUUGCAGUUGGCUUAUUUUACUGAGCAAAGUGCUUUUAAAGAUUCACCCAUUGAGUACCAGGGGUCGGAAUGCUACUCCUCUUAUGGCUAAGUAAUAUUCCACUGCAUCUCACACUGUGUGUAUUCACUCAUCCGUUGGUGGAUACUUGGGUUAUGUAGUAUUGACUACUGUGCCUUUCAAUUAAAGAAAAAAACAAUCUGUUU
ensembl:lincRNA Gm20515 predicted gene 20515